GGAUUAAAGGCGUGUACCACCAGCGCCCGACAGAUGGGGCUUUAAAGACAGAAAAUUUUAUCAAGACCUCCACAAACCAGACCCCAGAUUCCCUCAAUCGUUGAGUGAGUCCCGGGACUCGCUCCACAGGGCCAGGAUGUUCAGGGACCUAGGCUGAGCUGUCAGUGUGAGGUGACUGAGUGGGAUGUGAGGUGUCUGAGUGGGGUGUGAGGUGUCUGAGUGGGGUGUGAGGUGACUGAGUGGGGUGUGAGGUGACUGAGUGGGGUGUGAGGUGACUGAGUGGAGUGUGAGGUGACUGAGUGGGAUGUGAGGUGCCUGAGUGGGGUGUGAGGUGUCUGAGUGGGGUGUGAGGUGACUGAGUGGGGUGUGAGGUGACUGAGUGGGGUGUGAGGUGACUGAGUGGGGUGUGAGGUGACUGAGUGGAGUGUGAGGUGACUGAGUGGAGUGUGAGGUGACUGAGUGGGAUGUGAGGUGCCUGAGUGGGGUGUGAGGUGUCUGAGUGGGGUGUGAGGUGACUGAGUGGGGUGUGAGGUGCCUGAGUGGGGUGUGAGGUGACUGAGUGGGGAUGUGAGGUGUCUGAGUGGGGUGUGAGGUGCCUGAGUGGGGUGUGAGGUGACUGAGUGGGGUGUGAGGUGCCUGAGUGGGGUAUGAGGUGACUGAGUGGGGUGUGAGGUGUCUGAGUGGGGUGUGAGGUGACUGAGUGGGGUGUGAGGUGACUGAGUGGGGUGUGAGGUGGGGACUGGAGGGGCUGCAGUUCAGGUCACCCUCAGCCUGAUACCCAGAGGAGCUUAAAGGAGUUCCCAGGGGGAGGGUAAACACACAGGGUGUCUGAGGGUGUGUCCCUGUCUGUGCAUAACAGCCAAGGAGGCCUCAGAAGACAGGGAUCC
rnacentral:lncRNA from 1 species